AGCCACUUUUGAUCUUUCACUCUUUGUGGCUAAGACUAUGCAUAGGUUUUCCAUAGCAGCCUUGUCAAUUAGGACCACCUCCUUUAUGAUCCUGGUUCUUGCUGUCAUCUUUGAGACUGAGAAGUUGCAAAUGGAACAACAGCAACAAUGGCAGCUGCAGCAGACACUUCUCCAGCAUUAUAGUGCUGUAAGGAGGAAUGUGUUCUGUCAGGGGCUCUACAUUUACUUUCUGGAAAG
rnacentral:lncRNA from 1 species